rnacentral:rRNA from 1 species
AGACAGCUAGGAGGUUGGCUUAGAAGCAGCCACCCUUUAAAGAAAGCGUAAUAGCUCACUAGUCGAGUCGGCCUGCGCGGAAGAUGUAACGGGGCUCAAACCAUACACCGAAGCUACGGGUAUCACGUAAGUGAUGCGGUAGAGGAGCGUUCUGUAAGCCUGUGAAGGUGAGUUGAGAAGCUUGCUGGAGGUAUCAGAAGUGCGAAUGCUGACAUGAGUAACGACAAUGCGAGUGAAAAACUCGCACGCCGAAAGACCAAGGUUUCCUGCGCAACGUUAAUCGACGCAGGGUUAGUCGGUCCCUAAGGCGAGGCUGAAAAGCGUAGUCGAUGGAAAACAGGUUAAUAUUCCUGUACUUCCAGUUAUUGCGAUGGAGGGACGGAGAAGGCUAGGCCAGCUUGGCGUUGGUUGUCCAAGUUUAAGGUGGUAGGCUGGAAUCUUAGGUAAAUCCGGGAUUUCAAGGCCGAGAGCUGAUGACGAGUUGCCUUUAGGCGACGAAGUGGUUGAUGCCAUGCUUCCAAGAAAAGCUUCUAAGCUUCAGAUAACCGGGAACCGUACCCCAAACCGACACAGGUGGUUGGGUAGAGAAUACCAAGGCGCUUGAGAGAACUCGGGUGAAGGAACUAGGCAAAAUGGCACCGUAACUUCGGGAGAAGGUGCGCCGGUGAGGGUGAAGGACUUGCUCCGUAAGCUCAUGCCGGUCGAAGAUACCAGGCCGCUGCGACUGUUUAUUAAAAACACAGCACUCUGCAAACACGAAAGUGGACGUAUAGGGUGUGACGCCUGCCCGGUGCCGGAAGGUUAAUUGAUGGGGUUAGCUAACGCGAAGCUCUUGAUCGAAGCCCCGGUAAACGGCGGCCGUAACAAUAACGGUCCUAAGGUAGCGAAAUUCCUUGUCGGGUAAGUUCCGACCUGCACGAAUGGCGUAACGAUGGCGGCGCUGUCUCCACCCGAGACUCAGUGAAAUUGAAAUCGCUGUGAAGAUGCAGUGUAUCCGCGGCUAGACGGAAAGACCCCGUGAACCUUUACUAUAGCUUUGCACUGGACUUUGAAUUUGCUUGUGUAGGAUAGGUGGGAGGCUUUGAAGCGUGGACGCCAGUCUGCGUGGAGCCAUCCUUGAAAUACCACCCUGGCAACUUUGAGGUUCUAACUCAGGUCCGUUAUCCGGAUCGAGGACAGUGUAUGGUGGGUAGUUUGACUGGGGCGGUCUCCUCCUAAAGAGUAACGGAGGAGUACGAAGGUGCGCUCAGACCGGUCGGAAAUCGGUCGUAGAGUAUAAAGGCAAAAGCGCGCUUGACUGCGAGACAAACACGUCGAGCAGGUACGAAAGUAGGUCUUAGUGAUCCGGUGGUUCUGUAUGGAAGGGCCAUCGCUCAACGGAUAAAAGGUACUCCGGGGAUAACAGGCUGAUACCGCCCAAGAGUUCAUAUCGACGGCGGUGUUUGGCACCUCGAUGUCGGCUCAUCGCAUCCUGGGGCUGAAGUAGGUCCCAAGGGUUGGGCUGUUCGCCCAUUAAAGCGGUACGCGAGCUGGGUUCAGAACGUCGUGAGACAGUUCGGUCCCUAUCUGUCGUGGGCGCAGGAAAUUUGAGAGGAGCUGUCCUUAGUACGAGAGGACCGGGAUGGACGUACCGCUGGUGUACCAGUUGUUCCGCCAGGAGCACCGCUGGGUAGCUACGUACGGACGGGAUAAGCGCUGAAAGCAUCUAAGCGCGAAGCCCCCCUCAAGAUGAGAUUUCCCAGUAUGUAAGACCCCUGGUAGACGACCAGGUUGA